AGUUUGAUCAUGGCUCAGGAUGAACGCUAGCGGCAGGCCUAAUACAUGCAAGUCGAACGCUCAGUAGCAAUACUGGGAGUGGCGCACGGGUGCGUAACGCGUACACAAUCUACCUCUAAGCGGGGGACACCUCCUGGAAACGGGGAUUAAUACCGCAUAAUAUGCCGAAGUCGCAUGACUUUGGUAUUAAAGCAGCAAUGCACUUAGAGAUGAGUGUGCGUCCCAUUAGGUAGUUGGUGAGGUAACGGCUCACCAAGCCUAUGAUGGGUAGCCGGUCUGAGAGGAUGGUCGGCCACACGGGCACUGAGACACGGACCCGACUCCUACGGGAGGCAGCAGUAAGGAAUAUUGGUCAAUGGUGGAAACACUGAACCAGCCAUGCCGCGUGGAGGAAUAAGGUCCUACGGAUUGUAAACUCCUUUUGACGAGGAAGAAAAUGUUAGAUUUAUCUAAUUUUGACGGUACUCGUAGAAUAAGCACCGGCUAACUCCGUG
rnacentral:rRNA from 1 species